GGAAAUUCUAUGAAAAGGACAGUACUUUCUUUAUUAAUUCUUAAAGCGAGUGAAGGUUGGUGUGAGCUUCACAAGAAUAAAAGAAUCUUAACAAGUAAUUGUAGGGAAAUUUAUUUAUAAUAAAUUAGGAAGAGAACCUUGGAGAAGCUGCCCCAAAGGAUUACUUAGUAGGGUUAGUCGUGAAAAGCGUUAAAAUUAUGAGUGGACUUUUUAAAAAAGUCAAUUAGAGUGGUACCACGGGUAUAUAACCGUCUCUUUC
rnacentral:ncRNA from 1 species